rnacentral:sRNA from 1 species
GCAACAAUUCAUAAUGCAGGUGGCGGCUGAACUCCCUUUUGAAAGGGGGUGAGGCGGAUGACAGUAUUUGAAGCAUUCAGUUUGAUUGUACAGUGUAGCCUUUUGCUAAUUGCAGUACUUACACUGAUGCUUAGCAUUAUUGUCUCUCAAAAUAAAAAGAAAUAGCCACCCUGCCGGCUAAGUAAGGUGACUUUUUCUACAACUUAAACUUGGUCAGCCGCUAUGUUGCGGCGUGAUUGUUGCUUUGACUGGAUGUUGACGCAUCCAGU